GCCCGAAUGGCGAAAUCGGUAGACGCAGCGGACUUAAAAUCCGCCAGCUUUGCGGCUGUGCCGGUUCGAGUCCGGCUUCGGGCACCA
rnacentral:tRNA from 1 species